UUGAUUUGGCUGGAAGUGAGCGGGCAUCUCAGUCAUUGUCAGCUGGUGCAAGACUGAAAGAAGGUUGUCACAUAAAUCGCAGCUUGCUGACCCUGGGCACUGUUAUUCGUAAGCUAAGGUCGUGUAAUGUCCUUGCACUGCUAAGCAAGUUUAACAUGGUUAUUAAGCAGCUCUACAAGAAGAGCUUUGCCUUCUGUGUUACAUUAUAUAAUCAGUUGCAUGAAAUGUAGCUAGCACCUCUUCUCAUUAUUGAUUUUUUUUUUUAAUUUUCAAUUCUGUUUUGUUAAUUCCUAUGGCCUGCAAAAUUUAAAAUGGAAGCCAGAUUUAAGCAUGACAUACCUCCUCUGAUUAAUGCCGAUACUUGUAACUAAUUCAAGUUGUUGUAUUACUUAAUGCAGCAAGGAUAGGACUGGUCACAUUCCUUUCCGAGAUUCAAAGCUAACCCGGAUAUUACAGCCAUCAUUGAGUGGCAACGGUAGAACUGCCAUCAUCUGCACAAUGAGUCCAUCACGAAGUCAUUUUGAGCAAUCAAGAAAUACUCUACUAUUUGCAAGUUGUGCUAAGGAAGUAACUACUAACGCCCAAGUGAAUGUAGCCAUGCCAGACAAAGCAUUGGUGAAGCAUUUACAGAGGGAGUUAGCAAGGUUGGAAAGUGAGUUAAGGUAUCCAAGGGCUUGUAUAUUCCCUUCAGAUUAUGAAGCGUUACUG
rnacentral:lncRNA from 1 species